rnacentral:rRNA from 1 species
CAGUCGCCGCGGGAACACGUAGGGUGCGAGCGUUAAUCGGAAUUACUGGGCGUAAAGCGUGCGCAGGCGGUUAUAUAAGACAGUUGUGAAAUCCCCGGGCUCAACCUGGGAACUGCAUCUGUGACUGUAUAGCUAGAGUACGGCAGAGGGGGAUGGAAUUCCGCGUGUAGCAGUGAAAUGCGUAGAUAUGCGGAGGAACACCGAUGGCGAAGGCAAUCCCCUGGACCUGUACUGACGCUCAUGCACGAAAGCGUGGGGAGCAAACAGGAUUAGAUACCCGCGUAGUCCCUGUCUCUUAUAC